GAAAAUGUUGAGUAUAAAGAGUGAAUAAUAGUAGAAGUAGAAGAAAAUGUAUAAGGAUUGGUGUUGAAAGUGAAGGGUAUUGAUAGGUAUUUUUUUUUUUAAAAUUUGAUUUUUUUUUUCAUAAUUUUAUUGCAAAAAAAAUGCCAGCCGUUGGAUUGGAGGAGAAGCAGAUCGGAGCACUAGGGGCGUGACACCUGUCUUCUACCCUUUGGAGCUUGCGCAGGGUUGACGUCAGCGCACGCGAGUUUAAAUUUUUUUUACCGUUGGCUAUAACGUCGAUGACGUUGCGCUGACGUCGCGCGUGACCUCAUCAACCCUCAGGCUCGAACUCGGGCUAAACUGGCCUGAGGGCCAGCCCGACUUCAUAGGUCCCACUCUCAACCUGGGCCUGGGCUCCUCGCUGGAACGUCAUUUUUUUUUCUCCCCCCAGCCUUGGGCUCAGCCCUUCGCUGGAGUUGCUCUUAAUGCGCAAUUGUAAAAAUUAGGGGUGGGCAUGGUCUGAUUCAGUCUGAUUCUUACUCCAAAUUGAAACUGGAAUUGGCACUAUUUUUCUGGUCUUAUUUGGUUUGAUUUUGAUGAAAAAUUAAUAAUUCCGGUGUGGUCUAGUUUGUCCAUAAGUCCUUUUUUUUUUUUUGUCGAAAUCAAGUUUCAUUGAAUGGAAGGUCAAAGCCAGAUUACAUCAAAAUGAACUCAAAUAAUUGAGUCACACAAAAUACAAUACAAACAGACAUAGAGCCUACUACAAAUAAAACUAACAAAGUGCAUAUAAAGGCAUAAAGCCCACAUAGAGGCCAAGAGCCUACGUAACGGCAAAAAGCCCACACAAGGCAAAAGCCCACAAAAUACAACACAACAUUUGGAAACCCUAACACUGUUAACAGGUAUGUGCCGCACAAUCCUACAACCACAAGCUGGGCCACCAUAGCAAGCCGACAACCACAAGCUGCUCCCAUAAG
rnacentral:lncRNA from 1 species